UCACUUCCCAGGCAGUGUGGGAUAGGAUCCUGCGGGUGCCCACCCUAGAAUUAACCCUAGGAUGGAUGCAAUCAGGAUUCAGUUUUGUUGAGACUGCUGCAGAGAGGAUUUGUUACUUGAGACCAUAUACAUCCUGGAAUUCUGCUGGAAUAACAGCAUUGGUUACAUGAAAACCGUGUGACAACCUUGGAAGUCUGAAAGAGCAGGAGAGAGGCUAAGCACACACAUAUUGUGAUUUUAAGAGUCUCAAGGUGAGAAGAAACAUCAGAAGCAGUUGAGAGACCAGGACGUGGGUCCUCAAAGGAUGAACAGAAGUUCUUUUGGAUAACAUUUUAAAAUGUUUCCUCCAGAGUUAUCUGCCUCAUUAACAAUGGUUUGAGUCUCAAGAGUCUCUCUUCGAUUUUACAAACAUGAUUUGUUGCUCUGCUAUAAAUGCAUGCUGCUCUAGUCCUUCAAUAAACCCACAACAUGUUUUCACCAUU
rnacentral:lncRNA from 10 species